rnacentral:rRNA from 1 species
UGAAUACCAAGGCGAUCGGGAGAACUAUGGUUAAGGAACUCGGCAAAAUGCCUCCGUAACUUCGGGAGAAGGAGGACCCCAUCAGGGUGAAGGACCUUGCGUCCGGAGCUCGAAGGGGUGGCACAGACCAGGGGAAAGCGACUGUUUACUAAAAACACAGCAGCGUGCGAAGUCGCAAGACGAUGUAUACGCUGUGACGCCUGCCCAAUGCCGGAAGGUUAAAGGGAAAGGUUAGUCCGCAAGGGCGAAGCUUUGAACUGAAGCCCCGGUGAAUGGCGGCCGUAACUAUAACGGUCCUAAGGUAGCGAAAUUCCUUGUCGGGUAAGUUCCGACCUGCACGAAUGGCGUAACGACUUUCCUACUGUCUCAACCAUAGACCCGGCGAAAUUGAAGUACGAGUAAAGAUGCUCGUUAGCUGCAGAAGGACGGAAAGACCCCGUGGACCUUUACUAUAGCUUGAUGUUGAGUUUUGUUAUGUGUUGUGUAGGAUAGGUGGGAGACUUGGAAACAUUGGCGCCAGCCAGUGCGGAGUCAACCUUGAAAUACCACCCUGCUCAUGACGGAGCUCUAACCCACGUCCCUGAUCGGGAUGGGGAACAGCGUCAGGUGGGUAGUUUGACUGGGGCGGUCGCCUCCUAAAGAGUAACGGAGGCGCCCAAAGGUUCCCUCAGACUGGUUGGCAAUCAGUCGUCGAGUGCAAUGGCACAAGGGAGCUUGACUGCGAGACCUACAAGUCAAGCAGGUGCGAAAGCAGGGCAUAGUGAUCCGGCGGUUACGUGUGGAAGCGCCGUCGCUCAACGGAUAAAAGGUACCCCGGGGAUAACAGGCUCAUCUUCCCCAAGAGUCCAUAUCGACGGGAAGGUUUGGCACCUCGAUGUCGGCUCAUCGCAUCCUGGGGCUGAAGCAGGUCCCAAGGGUUGGGCUGUUCGCCCAUUAAAGCGGUACGCGAGCUGGGUUUAGAACGUCGUGAGACAGUUCGGUCCCUAUCCUCUGCAGCCGGAGGAAACUCGAGAAAGCCUGUCCCUAGUGCGAGAGGACCGGGAUGGACGUAGCUCUCGUGUGUCAGUUGUCCUGCCAAGGGCAUUGCUGAUUAGCGACCUACGGAAGGGAUAAGCGCUGAAAGCAUCUAAGUGCGAAGCCUGUUUCUAGAUGAGGUUUCCCACUGGGUUAACCAGGUAAGGCCCGUGAUAGACCAACACGUUGAUAGGCCGGAGGUGUAAGCGUGGUAACACGUUCAGCCGACCGGUACUAAUCGGCCGAGGGCUUGGAUU